rnacentral:ncRNA from 1 species
UAGUUAUCCAACUCAGCAACAUAUGUGGCAAGUGGUGUGUUAUCCAUCAUAAAUCCAGCAUCCACAUCAGCAAAUUAGUGCCGGAUUCCUCAUUGGUACUGGCGGAAGAUACAGAAAUAAUAGGAGUGGUACCAAAAAGAAACAAAUUGAAGGUUUGGUACCAUUUGGAAAAAAGUGCGAAGGUAUGGUACCAGCGGCACAUUUAACCCAUUAGCGUAGAUAAUAUCAUAGGAUUUUGGUCCUACUCUGUUGGCCUUUGGGAUCAGAGUAAUGAUUAACAAGGACUGUCGGGGCAUUCAUAUUUCAUAGUCAGAGGUGAAAUUUUUAGAUUUAUGAAAGACGAACAACUCCAAAAGCAUUUGCCAAGGAUGUUUCAUUAAUCAA